UUCGGGGACAUUGGUUACAGGUGGUGCAUGGUUGUCGUCCGCUCGUGUCGUGAGAUGUUGGGUUAAGUGCCCCAACGACCGCAACCCUUGUCUUUAGUUGCCAUCAUUAAGUUGGGCACUCUAGAGAGACUGCCAGGGAUAACCUGGAGGAAGGUGGGGAUGACGUCAAAUCAUCAUGCCCCUUAUGCUUAGGGCUACACACGUGCUACAAUGGGUAGUACAGAGGGUUGCCAAGCCGUAAGGUGGAGCUAAUCCCUUAAAGCUACUCUCAGUUCGGAUUGUAGGCUGAAACUCGCCUACAUGAAGCUGGAGUUACUAGUAAUCGCAGAUCAGAAUGCUGCGGUGAAUGCGUUCCCGGGUCUUGUACACACCGCCCGUCACACCACGGGAGUUGGAGACGCCCGAAGCCGAUUAUCUAACCUUGUGGAAGAAGUCGUCGAAGGUGGAAUCAAUAACUGGGGUGAAGUCGUAACAAGGUAGCCGUAUCGGAAGGUGCGGCUGGAUCACCUCCUUUCUAAGGA
rnacentral:rRNA from 1 species